UACGUAGGGUGCGAGCGUUAAUCGGAAUUACUGGGCGUAAAGCGUGCGCAGGCGGCUUCGCAAGUCAGACGUGAAAUCCCCGGGCUUAACCUGGGAAUGGCGUUUGAAACUACGGAGCUGGAGUGUGGCAGAGGGAGGUAGAAUUCCACGUGUAGCGGUGAAAUGCGUAGAUAUGUGGAGGAAUACCGAUGGCGAAGGCAGCCUCCUGGGCCAACACUGACGCUCAUGCACGAAAGCGUGGGGAGCAAAC
rnacentral:rRNA from 1 species